UACGGGGGGGGCAAGCGUUGUUCGGAAUUACUGGGCGUAAAGGGCCCGUAGGUGGCCAACUAAGUCAGACGUGAAAUCCCUCGGCUUAACCGGGGAACUGCGUCUGAUACUGGAUGGCUUGAGUUUGGGAGAGGGAUGCGGAAUUCCAGGUGUAGCGGUGAAAUGCGUAGAUAUCUGGAGGAACACCGGUGGCGAAGGCGGCAUCCUGGACCAACACUGACACUGAGGAGCGAAAGCCAGGGGAGCAAACGGG
rnacentral:rRNA from 1 species